AAACUACAAGGGGAGCCGAAGCUCCCCCAGAAGUAGUUGCGUGCUCUAUUUUUAUUAUGGAUUGCGGGCUUCUUGUUUUUGUUGAUCGCCCUCGCCAUGAAGCUUCACCUUCAUGACACUCCCAAUCGGGAGUCAAGAGCAAACGGAUUGCUUUGGUCGCUGUGUUGCUGAUCUACGAUCCAACCAGUUCAGGCUCUGCCUUAGGGCAGUU
rnacentral:misc_RNA from 6 species